GCCUGUAGUCUAGUGGCUAAGAUACAUGACUGGGACCCUUGAGAUUGGUGGUUCAAAACCCGUGUAGCCA